UUGGAGGGCAAGUCUGGUGCCAGCAGCCGCGGUAAUUCCAGCUCCAAUAGCGUAUAUUAAAGUUGUUGCAGUUAAAAAGCUCGUAGUUGAAUUUCGGGAUUGACACAUCAGUCGUGCCUUAAGGGGUAUGAACUGGUGUAGUCAAUUUCUCACCUUCUGGAGAACCACGAUGCCCUUAAUUGGGUGUCGCGGGGAACCAGGACCUUUACUUUGAAAAAAUUAGAGUGUUUAAAGCAGGCUCACGCUUGAAUACAUUAGCAUGGAAUAAUGAAAUAGGACGUUUGAUUCUAUUUUGCUGGUUUCUAGGAUCGACGUAAUGAUUAAUAGGGAUAGUUGGGGGCAUUAGUAUUCAAUUGUCAGAGGUGAAAUUCUUGGAUUUAUUGAGGACUAACCACUGCGAAAGCAUUUGCCAAGGAUGUUUUCAUUAAUCAAGGACGAAAGUUAGGGGAUCGAAGACGAUCAGAUACCGUCGUAGUCUUAACCAGAAACUAUGCCGACUAGGGAUCGGAUGAUGUUAAUUUUUUAAUGACUCAUUCGGCGCCUUACGGGAAAC
rnacentral:rRNA from 1 species